rnacentral:rRNA from 1 species
AGAGUUUGAUCAUGGCUCAGAUUGAACGCUGGCGGCAUGCCUUACACAUGCAAGUCGAACGCGAAAGCGGAGCAAUCCGUUAGUAGAGUGGCGAACGGGUGAGUAAUGCAUCGGAACGUGCCCAGUAGCGGGGGAUAACCAGUCGAAAGACUGGCUAAUACCGCAUACGACCUAAGGGUGAAAGCGGGGGAUCGUAAGACCUCGCACUAUUGGAGCGGCCGAUGCCGGAUUAGCUAGUUGGUGAGGUAAAAGCUCACCAAGGCGACGAUCCGUAGCUGGUCUGAGAGGACGACCAGCCACACUGGAACUGAGACACGGUCCAGACUCCUACGGGAGGCAGCAGUGGGGAAUUUUGGACAAUGGGGGAAACCCUGAUCCAGCCAUGCCGCGUGAGUGAAGAAGGCCUUCGGGUUGUAAAGCUCUUUCGGCAGGAACGAAAUGGUCCGUGUUAAUAACUCGGACCGAUGACGGUACCUGAAGAAGAAGCACCGGCUAACUACGUGCCAGCAGCCGCGGUAAUACGUAGGGUGCAGGCGUUAAUCGGAAUUACUGGGCGUAAAGCGUGCGCAGGCGGUUUGUUAAGACAGAUGUGAAAUCCCCGGGCUUAACCUGGGAACUGCGUUUGUUACUGGCAGACUUGAGUGUGGCAGAGGGGGGUAGAAUUCCACGUAGCAGUGAAAUGCGUAGAUAUGUGGAGGAAUACCAAUGGCGAAGGCAGCCCCCUGGGUUAACACUGACGCUCAUGCACGAAAGCGUGGGGAGCAAACAGGAUUAGAUACCCUAGUAGUCC